GACAGAGGGUGCAAACGUUGUUCGGAAUUACUGGGCGUAAAGAGCGUGUAGGCGGCCGCACAGGUCCGUUGUGAAAACUGGAGGCUCAACCUUCAGACGUCGAUGGAAACCGUGCGGCUAGAGUCCGGAAGAGGAGAGUGGAAUUCCUGGUGUAGCGGUGAAAUGCGCAGAUAUCAGGAAGAACACCCGUGGCGAAGGCGGCUCACUGGCCCGGUACUGACGCUGAGGUGCGAAAGCGUGGGGAGCAAACAGG
rnacentral:rRNA from 1 species